AACGAACGCUGGCGGCAUGCCUAACACAUGCAAGUCGAACGAGACCUUCGGGUCUAGUGGCGCACGGGUGCGUAACGCGUGGGAACCUGCCCUUAGGUUCGGAAUAACUCCCCGAAAGGGGUGCUAAUACCGGAUAAUGUCUUCGGACCAAAGAUUUAUCGCCUUUGGAUGGGCCCGCGUUGGAUUAGCUAGUUGGUAGGGUAAAAGCCUACCAAGGCGACGAUCCAUAGCUGGUCUGAGAGGAUGAUCAGCCACACUGGGACUGAGACACGGCCCAGACUCCUACGGGAGGCAGCAGUGGGGAAUACUGGACAAUGGGCGAAAGCCUGAUCCAGCAAUGCCGCGUGAGUGAUGAAGGCCUUAGGGUUGUAAAGCUCUUUUACCCGGGAUGAUAAUGACAGUACCAGGAGAAUAAGCUCCGGCUAACUCCGUG
rnacentral:rRNA from 1 species